UAGUCUCCUCACUACCUCGAUCCCGCAGCACCCUCUGAGACCACCUCCACCGGGCAGCUUGGGCGCGGAUUUACCUUGACCUUAGGGCCAGGUAGCCUUCGGAACUAAGACCACGUGCAGACAGGAUGCUGAGGAUGAGGACCUGGGAAGUCAAGCCAACUAAAAUGAGGCGAGGGCAUUUCAUGCAGUCAGAUCAUCUCAGGAAGACACUGGAGGCUGAGGCGGGAAGACUGGUGCUAGUAAAAUUGCCAGAAAUUUGAGGACAAGGCUUCCAAGUUCAACAGUCCUGACUGUCCCGGAACUCACUUUGUAGACCAGUCUGGUCUUGAACUCAAAGCAAUACACCUACCUCUGCUUCCCAAGUGCCAGGAUUAAAGAAGUGGCCCCCACCUCCAGAUAGAAUGAUUAUUUUCUUUCUGGACUUUUAUAAGGGUAGGAAAGAUGGCAGAGGAUAUUGGGAGAAAGCCCAGCAUUGCAAGUAAGAAUCAUUAUGAAAAGCUUUCUUGUGUGCUCGUUCCUAAGACAUAGCCGGAUAUCUAGUUAAUAUUGAAUAUGUGUAACUGGUAUUCCAACAUAAUUGGCAAUUUAUAGUUGGCAAUAAAGUGUUUAAAAUUGAACCCA
rnacentral:lncRNA from 1 species